rnacentral:rRNA from 1 species
CAGUCGCCGCGGUAAUUCGAAGGGGGCUAGCGUUGUUCGGAUUUACUGGGCGUAAAGAGUGUGUAGGCGGUGCUCCAAGUUCGGUGUGAAAUCUCCUGGCUUAACUGGGAGGGUGCGUCGAAAACUGGAGUGCUCGAGCGUGGGAGAGGAAAGCGGAAUUCCUGGUGUAGCGGUGAAAUGCGUAGAUAUCAGGAGGAACACCUGUGGUGUAGACAGCUUUCUGGACCAUAGCUGACGCUGAGACACGAAAGCGUGGAUAGCAAACAGGAUUAGAUACCCGGGUAGUCCCUGUCUCUUAUAC